GCGCAGCAGUCGAGAAACCUUCGCAAUGCGGGAAACCGCGACGAGGGGACUCCCAGUGCCUACGCUCAGCGUAGGCUGUUCCCGAGCCUAGAAAGCUCGGGGAGUAAGGGCUGGGUAAGACGGGUGCCAGCCGCCGCGGUAAUACCCGCAGCCCGAGUGGUGGCCACUAUUAUUGGGCCUAAAGCGUCCGUAGCCGGCCCGGUAAAUGCCUGGGUAAAUCGUGAGGCCUAACCUCACGAAUUCCGGGUAGACUGCCGGGCUAGGGACCGGAGGAGGGAGAGGGGUACUCCAGGGGUAGGGGUGAAAUCCUGUAAUCCCUGGAGGACCACCGGUGGCGAAGGCGCUCUCCUAGGACGGGUCCGACGGUGAGGGACGAAAGCCAGGGGAGCGAACCGGAUUAGAUACCCCUGUAGU
rnacentral:rRNA from 1 species